GACGAACGCUGGCGGCGUGCCUAAUACAUGCAAGUCGAACGAGAGCGACCGGUGCUUGCACUGGUCAAUCUAGUGGCGAACGGAUGAGUAACACGUGGGUAACCUGCCCAUCAGAGGGGGAUAACAUCCGGAAACGGAUGCUAAAACCGCAUAGGUCUUCGAACCGCAUGGUUUGAAGAGGAAAAGAGGCGCAAGCUUCUGCUGAUGGAUGGACCCGCGGUGCAUUAGCUAGUUGGUGAGGUAACGGCUCACCAAGGCCGUGAUGCAUAGCCGACCUGAGAGGGUGAUCGGCCACAUUGGGACUGAGACACGGCCCAAACUCCUACGGGAGGCAGCAGUAGGGAAUCUUCCGCAAUGGACGCAAGUCUGACGGAGCAACGCCGCGUGAGUGAAGAAGGUUUUCGGAUCGUAAAACUCUGUUGUUAGAGAAGAACAAGUGCUAGAGUAACUGUUAGCGCCUUGACGGUAUCUAACCAGAAAGCCACGGCUAACUACGUG
rnacentral:rRNA from 1 species